ensembl:misc_RNA Metazoa_SRP Metazoan signal recognition particle RNA
GCCGGGUGUGGUGGCUCACGCCUGUAAUCCCAGCACUUUGGGAGGCUGAGGUGGGUGGAUCACCUGAGGUCAGGAGUUCGAGACCAGCCUGACCAACAUGGAGAAACCCCAUCUCUA